rnacentral:rRNA from 1 species
AAUGAACGUUGGCGGCAUGGAUUAGGCAUGCAAGUCGAGCGAGAAGAGUUUUGAAGCUUGCUUUAGAACUCGGACAGCGGCGAAAGGGAGAGUAACGCGUAGUUAUGUGCCCUAGGGUCCGGAAUAGCCACGGGAAACUGUGGGUAAUGCCGGAUAAUAUCCCCGGAUCAAAGGUGUGAUUCCGCCCUAGGAGCAGACUGCGUCCUACUAGCUAGUUGGUGGGGUAAUGGCCUACCAAGGCAACGAUGGGUAGCGGGUGUGAGAGCAUGACCCGUCUCACUGGGACUGAGACACUGCCCAGACACCUACGGGUGGCUGCAGUCGAGAAUCUUCGGCAAUGGGCGAAAGCCUGACCGAGCGAUGCCGCGUGCGGGAUGAAGGCCCUCGGGUUGUAAACCGCUGUCGUAGGGGAGGAGGGUUCCGUGAAGAGCGGGACUUGACCUAUCCUAGGAGGAAGUACGGGCUAAGUUCGUGCCAGCAGCCGCGGUAA